rnacentral:rRNA from 1 species
CACAUCACGAAAGUGGAUUGUACUAGAAGUCUGCAGGCUGACCCGCAAGGGAGGCAGCGGCCCAAGGUAUGAUACCAUGAUUGGGUG